GGCCGCGGCGGCGACGGGCGAGCGGGGCGAAGGCGGGGAGGAGGCGGGAGAGCGGCGGGGCUCGGGCGCCCCGCGGUGCCGCAGUAACGCCGUGCCCGUUGCAAGCUGGGAUUUCAUCCCCAGAGAUCCACCCCCUCGAUUCUCAAAGCUCCGGCGCCUUUUUACUCUCAGGCGUCUCCAAAAGGCUGGAAAAUGCACUGACUGACUCCACAAGAAACAUCUGUUGACAAGGAAUUGUCUGAACUCUCUGGGGAAAGGAUCAAGUGGGAGCCACUACUGCACAGCUGGAAUCAGGGGCAAGCAGAAGGAACCAGUGGCACAUCUCCUGGGUCAGGGUAUCGCUCAAGGCCCUGCUACAGGGAG